UAAGCGGAGGAAAAGAAACUAACAAGGAUUCCCCUAGUAGCGGCGAGCGAAGCGGGAAGAGCUCAAAUUUAUAAUCUGGCACCUUCGGUGUCCGAGUUGUAAUCUCUAGAAAUGUUUUCCGCGUUGGACCGCACACAAGUCUGUUGGAAUACAGCGGCAUAGUGGUGAGACCCCCGUAUAUGGUGCGGACGCCCAGCGCUUUGUGAUACAUUUUCGAAGAGUCGAGUUGUUUGGGAAUGCAGCUCAAAUUGGGUGGUAAAUUCCAUCUAAAGCUAAAUAUUGGCGAGAGACCGAUAGCGAACAAGUACCGUGAGGGAAAGAUGAAAAGCACUUUGGAAAGAGAGUUAACAGUACGUGAAAUUGUUGGAAGGGAAACGCUUGAAGUCAGACUUGCUUGCUGAGCAAUCGGUUUGCAGGCCAGCAUCAGUUUUCCGGGAUGGAUAAUGGUAGAGAGAAGGUAGCAGUUUCGGCUGUGUUAUAGCUCUCUGCUGGAUACAUCUUGGGGGACUGAGGAACGCAGUGUGCCUUUGGCGGGGGUUUCGACCUCUUCACACUUAGGAUGCUGGUGGAAUGGCUUUAAACGACCCGUCUUGAAACACG
rnacentral:rRNA from 1 species